rnacentral:lncRNA from 1 species
UUUUUUUUUUCUCGCAUUCAAUGUAUACAGUUUUAUUAAGGAUGGGCACGUAUAUUUAUUUGUUUAUAUAUUUAUUUGCUAAUAUUAUAUACAUUUUAUAAAGAAAAAACGUUUGGAGCCAAAAAAAAAAAAAAAAAAAAAAAAAAAAAAAAAAAAAAAAAAAAAAAAUUAUCAUUUGUGCUAUGUUCUAAUAAAAGUAUGUUUGAUUUUUGAUUUUUGAUUUUUUUAAAGAACUUAAAAAUGAAAAGAAAAAGUUUAAAAUAUACACUGCAAAAAGUAUAUAUUAAAAAAAGCAAAGAAGAAUGAACAGAAAGGUAUAACUAUUUUAAAAAUAGAGUUUUUUUUUUUUUUUUUUUUUUUUUUUUUUACUGAUGGCAUAACAAUACAUUUAUGUAAAUGUAAUUAAAACAUUGUUAUUAUUUUUGAUAAAGGACAUGAUUAAAACUUAUAAAAUUGUUAAAAAAAUUAGGGAGAUAAAUUACUAAGAAAAUUAAUAAUAAAAAUAGUAACUAAAUGAAACAAUUAACGAGAAAAUUGGCGAUAUAUAUUUUUUUUCAUUUUAUGUAAUCAUCAUUUUAAUACAAUUAUUAUAAAUAGUAUAGUGAAAAUGUCAAAUAAUAUGAAUAAUAAUAAAAAUAAUAACUAUAAUAAUAAUAAUAAUAAUAAUGACAAGUACAAUAACAUAAGAAAUAAUUCCAAUAACAUUACAAAUAAUAGUAUGAAUAUACCAAAUAAUGUGGGCAUUGUAUUAAAUAAGGUGAGCGGUAUACCAAAUAAUAUGAGCGGUAUACCUAAUAAUAUGAGCGGCAUACCUAAUAAUAUGAGCAGUAUACCAAAUAAUAUGAGUGGUAUACCAAAUAAUAUGAGUGGUAUACCAAAUAAUAUGAGUGGUAUACCAAAUAAUAUGAGCGGUAUACCUAAUAACAUGAGCGGUAUACCAAAUAAUAUGAGCGGUAUACCAAAUAAUAUGAGCGGCAUACCAAAUAAUAUGAGCGGUAUACCAAAUAAUAUGAGCGGUAUACCAAAUAAUAUGAGCGGUAUACCAAAUAAUAUGAGCGGUAUAUCACGCAAUAUGAAUUGUAUACCACACAAUAUAAGCGGUGUACCAAGCAAUGUAAACAGUUUAAAUAACAAUAUUAACAAUAAGAUGCAUAAUAAAAUUGGUAACAUCCAUGAACAUAUAAAUAAUAUGCAAACUAAUAUAAAUACUAUGCCAAAUAAUAUGAAAUAUAACAUAGCGAACAAUAUAAAUAAUAUGACGACUAAUGUAAACUAUCCCCUAAAUAAUAGUUACUCAAACAUAAAUAUAAGUAAAAAUAUGAAUAUGAUGAAUGAAGUAAAUUUUAGGAGUAAUCUUAAAAUGAACAGCCCUGACACAGGUAAUAAUAUAAAAUUUGAUAACCUUAUUAGUAGAAAGCAUAAUAAUAAUGUAAGAGAAAAUAUAAUGAAUAAUUUAAAUUACAAUUAUAACAAUAUAAAUUUUAAUAUUAUGAAAAGUAGUAAUAUAGAUAUGAAUACUAAAGUAAAUAAUGAAAAUAUGGAAAAACUAGCAGAUAACGCAGAACAUAUUUUGAAAAAAAUAAAUAACAGCAAUAAUAUGAUCAUUAAAAACAAUAUGAAAAAUAAUACUGCUGCUAUUGCUACAAAUAGUAGUAUUAAUAAUAAUAAUAACAAUAACAAGUAUUAUAUAAAUCCUGAUAAUCCUAAUAGAAAUAUAUUUUAUAUGAACGACAUGGAAAAUGUUGAAAGUAAUAUGAUUCCUACAAAUAAUAAAAUAAAUAAUAUUAAGGAUAAUCAAAAUAAUAUGCUUUUUUUUAUGAAUAAAGAAUAUUUAGAAAAUACAUAUAAAAAAGAGAAGUACUUAUUAAAUAAAGAUGAAAAUGAAAACAUGUAUAUGACAUCAAAUCAGUUUAGUAAUAUUAAUCAGGAAAAUAUGAUAACCUUAGUCAAUAACAUUAAAAGCCAUGGGAUUAAAAUAAGUGGAAUGGACAAAGGACCCGAUAACACAUGUGUUAAUUAUAGUAGUAGUAGUAUUAAUAAUAGUUGUAAUGAUAAUAGUAUUAAUAACAACAAUAGUAUUAAUAACAACAAUAGUAUUAAUAACAAUAAUAGUAUUAAUAACAAUAAUAAUAUUAAUAAUAGUAGCAAUAUCAAUAAUAGUAGCAAUAUCAAUAGUAGUAGCAAUAAUACUACUACUACUAGUAGUAAUAAUAAUAAUAGUAAUAAUAAUAAUAAUAAUAGUAAUAAUAGUGGUAGUAAUAAUAAUAGUGAUGAUGAUAAUAGUAAUAAUAAUAAUAAUAAUAAUAAUAUUAAUAGUAAUAGUGACAGUGAUAGUGAUAAUAAUAAUAAUAAUGAUGGAAAUAAUAAUGUUACUACUAUAAAUAUGAAUAAUAACAUGUUACAUAAUGAACUAAAUAGAAAUAAUACUAUGUAUAACGUAGCUAAUAAUAACAUGUUCGUUUUUAAUAAUCAUUCGAUUUUAGAAAAUAAAACUAAUGUUAUUGAUAAUAUGAUAAAAAAUAAUGAUACUACAACAAAUUCCAAUAGUAAUAUUUGUAAUGUUCCUAUUACUUAUAUUAAUAUAAAUAAAAAUAUGAUUGACACUGUAAAUAAUGUUACUUAUAAUAAUAUUAAUGAAAGGAAUAAUGAAAAUGAUGCGACUAGUUUGUCAAAUAAAACAGAGGAAGUAGAUGUACUAACUGGGGUAAAUAUCCUAAAAAAAAAAGUACAACAUAUAGAACAAAAAGAAGAAAAAAAAAAAGAGGAAGACGAAGGAAUGUUAGAAGCAAGCAAAACAGGAGAAAAAGAAAGGGAAAAUGAAAAUGAAAAAGAAGAUGAAGGAAAAUUAGAAAUAGACGAAAAUGGAGGAGAAAAAGCAGAAAACGAAGGAAAAAGAGAAGAAAAAAUAAAUGAAGAAGAAAAUGAUAAAAAAGAAGUAUUAACAAAUGAUAUAAAUGGGCUAAAAUUUAACAAAGAUGAUGGGAUAGAAAAACAAAAUUGGGAUGUUAAUAAUUUUAUUUUUAAUUUAAAUAAAAAUAAUGAACAACAGACUGAUCAUAAUGAAAUAACUUUAAAUGGUAUAGAACAUACACAGACACAAACUCAAAUGCAAACAAAAACUAGUGAGGAUGAUAAUAACAAAAUAAAUCAAAAUUUUAAUUUAAGCAUGAAGAAUAAUAUGAAAAAAAAAAGUUAUAGUAAUAAUAAAAAAACUGUAUUUAAAAAUUACGAUUCUACUAAUCAUUUAACGAACUUUUUAUUAAAUGGUGGUGAUGAUAAUAAUGACAAUAGUAAUAAUAUGAACGAAAAUAGACUUUUUAGUGAAGGCGAAACAAAAUUUACAAAGAAAAAAAAAAAUUCUAGUUACACACAUAAAGAUAUACCUGCUUACUCACCCAGAAUAAUGGAAAGUAAUAAAAAAAUAAUAGCCUUAACAAAAUUGUUUGGAGACGUCAUCGACGAAAAUGACAAUAAUACUGAGCAUAAGAUUGGUGGACAUAUUAGUGACAAUAAACAUAAAGAAAAUGACAAUGUUUUUGAUAUAUUUUCUGGCUCAAGAAAUAUAAAUAAUAUAACCGAUUUAGAAACAUAUAAAAAUAUGUCGCUUGAUACUAUGCUAAAUAAUUUAAAUUUGGAUAAA